AAAAAGGUAAGCUAAGCAAUAAGCUAUUAGGUUCAUACCCUGAAUAUAGAUAUAAUCUCCUUUUUA
rnacentral:tRNA from 1 species